UGACGAUGCCGGCGACCAACUCCCCAACCCAGGCUGCUCGUCCAGGUCGCGUGUCUAGGAAGAUCGGCAGGGGCAUGCUACUAGAGGGCCGAGAUGGCGAGAUACAGGAGUCACGCGACCUGGAAAAGGGACCUGGCAGGGACAAGGAGGUGUGGACCUGGAGAAGGGAUCUGGCCGGUCAGCCGAUUUUUCUUCUUUGCUGCCUACGACUACUAGCCUCUUUCUUGCAAAUGUUGUCAUCCUUUGUCUAGCAGGGUCAUAGGAGAAAGCUGAGGAUGUCGAGCCGAGGUGAGCCUCGCUGGUUUGCUGCUCAACGGGAGAAGCACGGUCACCCCUCCAGAGAGAAACGAGUACAUUGCGUCUAGGUGGUGACUUUGUUGCUGGGUUCUACCUUCACAACCUGAUAUCGGAGAUUCUUUCUUUGAAGAUUUUAGCACUAUUAUUCAAGCCUACUCUCUGUAGUGAUUCCUUGAAGAUGAAGGGAUACUUUCCUCCCCCAUGUGAGGUGCUAUUUUAGAUUAGUUUUUCUUUUGGAUGUACGCAAUAACACAAAUAUACUUUCUUGUUUGGCAGUGUAGAGUUAGUCGGUGCUUUGAUGAUAGUUCACGAAAACUGGAGUAUAUCAACAUAAUGGGUGUAUACCUAUCUGGCUCCGCCCAUCCCACCGUCCUUGCUCAGUUGGUUGGGAUAUGGACGCCAUGAGAUUUGACGUGGUUGAGGUGAGUUUUGUCAAUUUGGCCAA